AUUGAACGCUGGCGGCAGGCCUAACACAUGCAAGUCGAACGGUAACAGGAAGAAGCUUGCUUCUUUGCUGACGAGUGGCGGACGGGUGAGUAAUGUCUGGGAAACUGCCUGAUGGAGGGGGAUAACUACUGGAAACGGUAGCUAAUACCGCAUAACGUCGCAAGACCAAAGAGGGGGACCUUCGGGCCUCUUGCCAUCGGAUGUGCCCAGAUGGGAUUAGCUUGUUGGUGGGGUAACGGCUCACCAAGGCGACGAUCCCUAGCUGGUCUGAGAGGAUGACCGGCCACACUGGAACGGAGCCACGGUCCAGACUCCUACGGGAGGCAGCAGUGGGGAAUAUUGCACAAUGGGGGCAAGCCUGAUGCAGCCAUGCCGCGUGUAUGAAGAAGGCCUUCGGGUUGUAAAGUACUUUCAGCGGGGAGGAAGGGAGUAAAGUUAAUACCUUUGCUGAUUGACGUUACCCGCAGAAGAAGCACCGGCUAACUCCGUG
rnacentral:rRNA from 1 species